ACACACAAGCAGCGGCUCCGUCCCUCCCUCUCCGGCCUCUGCUCUUUCUUCCUCCUCCUCGUUGCCGCAGCCGCAGCCGCCUCCGCCCGCCUUCGCCGUGCGCUACGGCCGGCGUAUGGGACCCGCAGGCCGGCUGUCCGUGGCGGCCGCUCUCCUCUCCUGCCUAUGUUUACAUGGGCUGUUGGGGAAUUCCGGGCAGGCAUUUGCUCAGGGCCCGCCGGUGCUCCACCGGAUCGACCACGCCGAGGAAGAUGACGACAGCGGCGGCCUCAUGCCGGAGCUCUCGCCCACCGGCUCCCCCCAGCCCUUCGUCCCCUUCCUCGCGCCUGCCCCUCUCGCGCCCUUCUACAACAACUCUACGCCCAAGUUGUCAGGCAAAUGCUCACUGAACUUCACUGCCAUCAAUGGCCUGAUGACCACCACGGCCGUCGAUUGCUUCGCCUCAUUCGCUCCGUUCCUCGCCAAUGUCAUCUGCUGUCCCCAGCUCCAGGCCACUCUCACCAUCCUCAUAGGACAGUCCAGCAAGCAGACGGGGUCCCUCGCUUUGGAUCCCACUCUUGCCAACUACUGUCUCUCUGACGUCCAGCAGCUGCUCAUGAGCCAGGGCGCGAGUGAUGAUCUCCGCAGCAUUUGCUCCGUCCACCUCUCCAAUGCCACCGAGGGGUCGUGCCCCGUUAGCACCGUUGAUGCGUUUGAGAGCGUCGUCGACUCAUCAAAGCUCCUCGAGGCCUGCCGGAAGGUCGAUCCUGUUAACGAGUGCUGCAGCCAGACAUGCCAGAGUGCUAUAAGUGAUGCUGCCCGCAAAAUCUCUUCCAAGGACGCUGCGUUGACAAGCGACACUGCCAGUCCCAAAGUUGACAGUUGCAGGAACGUUGUACUUAGAUGGUUAUCCAGCAGGCUUGAGCCAUCAUCCGCAACCAAAAUGCUCAGGCAGAUAUCAAACUGUAAUGUCAAUGGAGUUUGCCCACUAAGCUUCCCAGACACAAGUAAGGUUGCAAAGGAGUGUGGUGGUACAGUUAAAAACAUUACUGUAUGCUGCAAGGCGAUGGACAGUUACGUAUCUCACUUGCAAAAGCAAAGUUUCAUAACAAAUUUGCAAGCUUUGAAUUGUGCCUCAGUCCUUGGGGCAAAAUUACAAGAUAUGAAGGUCAGCACAAAUGUUUAUAGCUCAUGCCAAGUAACAUUGAAGGAUUUCUCACUUCAAGUUGGAUCUCAAGAAUCUGGAUGCCUUCUUCCAACAUCGGCUUCGACAUGCAAUAAAUCGGCUGCUCCUGGACCUAUAAUCCCAGAGAGGCCUGCAGCAACAUCGGCGCAAAACGGUGUCAACCACAACAGACUGGAGCUUAGCCUAGCCGUCUGCUUUGGCGCCCUUGUGGCCACUAUUUUACUGCAAGUCUAGUUCACCUUAGUUUGUCAAAUUAUCCAGAGAUUGAGGAGAGCUGAUUGGAACUGUGAACCGCGGAGUUUUUGUGCGUGCUUGGUCAUUGCAUCAGAGCAUUGUAACUGGUAGCUAUUAGUGUAAUUUGUUGUAAGCCACAGAAUGAUAGUGAAUGCAACACUGACUCUAAUUUAUUACUAUUGCCUUUUGUAUAGCGAGUAGUGAAGGUUCCAUAAUUCUGCAUGACAACUUGGAUAGACUUGAUUUUGUUGUCUAAUGGUUUGUCACUU
rnacentral:rRNA from 1 species